GAUUAACGCUGGCGGCGUGCCUAACACAUGCAAGUCGAGCGGCAGCGAGUUUUACACUGACUUCUGGAAGCUUCUAGUUGAAAGAGAAGAUUUAUUCAAGAAUUUUGUGUAAAAUGUCGGCGAGCGGCGGACGGCUGAGUAACGCGUGGGAACGUACCCCAAAGUGGGGGAUACCGAAUCGAAAGGUGGCCUAAUACCCCAUAUGGUCUUCGGAUUAAAGCCUUCGGGCGCCUUGGGAACGCCCUGCGUAAGAUUAGAUAGUUGGUGGGGUAAUGGCCUACCAAGUCGACGAUCUUUACCUGGUUUGAGAGGAUGAUCAGUCAGACUGGAACUGAGACACGGUCCAGACUCCUACGGGAGGCAGCAGUGAGGAAUCUUCCACAAUGGGCGAGAGCCUGAUGGAGCAACGCCGCGUGCAGGAUGAAGGCCUUCGGGUUGUAAACUGCUUUUAUAAGUGAGGAUUAUGACAGUAACUUAUGAAUAAGGAUCGGCUAACUACGUG
rnacentral:rRNA from 1 species